rnacentral:piRNA from 1 species
UACAUUACAUGACGAUUCUUUGCAGAAC